AGGACGAACGCUGGCGGCGUGCUUAACACAUGCAAGUCGAGCGGAAAGGCCCUUCGGGGUACUCGAGCGGCGAACGGGUGAGUAACACGUGGGCAACCUGCCCCUAGCUCUGGGAUAACUCCGGGAAACCGGUGCUAAUACCGGAUAUGACCUCAAUAGGCAUCUUCUGAGGUGGAAAGAUUUAUUGGCUAGGGAUGGGCCCGCGGCCUAUCAGCUUGUUGGUGGGGUAAUGGCCUACCAAGGCGACGACGGGUA
rnacentral:rRNA from 1 species